AUUCUUGAGCCGGGCAGUGGUGGCACACACCUUUAAUCCCAGCACUUGGGAGGCAGAGGCAGGUGGAUCUCUGUCA
rnacentral:miRNA from 1 species